UACGUAGGGUGCAAGCGUAAUCGGAAUUACUGGGCGUAAAGCGUGCGCAGGCGGUCUUGCAAGACAGAUGUGAAAUCCCCGGGCUCAACCUGGGAACUGCAUUUGUGACUGCAAGGCUGGAGUGCGGCAGAGGGGGAUGGAAUUCCGCGUGUAGCAGUGAAAUGCGUAGAUAUGCGGAGGAACACCGAUGGCGAAGGCAAUCCCCUGGGCCUGCACUGACGUCAUGCACGAAAGCGUGGGGAGCAAACAGG
rnacentral:rRNA from 1 species